AUGGGCGGCGGCGAGGGCGGGGCGGGCGGCGAGCCCGCGGCGGGAGCGGCCCCGGCCGCGGCCGCGCAGGCGACGCUGCACAUCCGCGGCACCAGCGGGAACAAGUUCGCGGUGCGGGCCGACCUGGGCGCCACCGUCGGGGAGCUCAAGGCGGUCGUCGCCGGGAGCUGCGACGUGCCCGCGCCGCAGCAGCGGCUGAUCUACAAGGGCCGGAUCUUGAAGGACGACCAAACCCUAGCCAGCUACGGUGUGGAGGCCGAUCACACCAUCCAUAUGGUGCGGGGUGCUGCACCACCAGCAACAUCGGCUGCCCCGGCUGCAGCCAACCUUGGGACUUCAACUACGACUCCUGCGAAUACCCCGCCAGCUGGUCUUGGAGGCUUGUUUCAAGGUCUUGGUAGUACAGGAACUGCUGGCAGUGGAGCUUUUGGUUUAUCUGCCUCUGGCCUUCCAGGAUUAGAGCAGAUGCAACAGCAGUUGACUGAGAAUCCUAACUUAAUGAGAGAAGUAUUGAAUACACCAGCCAUGCAAAACAUAAUGAAUAGCCCUGAUCUAAUACGCGAUUUAAUUAUGAACAAUCCUCAAAUGCGUGAGCUCGUCGACCGUAAUCCGGAUCUGGCACAUGUCCUGAAUGAUCCAAGCAUUCUCCGCCAAACUGUUGAAGCAGCUAGGAAUCCUGAACUUAUGAGAGAGAUGAUGCGGAACACAGACAGAGCCAUGAGCAACAUUGAAUCUUCUCCAGAAGGGUUUAAUAUGCUGCGCCGCAUGUAUGAAACUGUUCAAGAGCCAUUUAUGAAUGCAACAACAAUGGCUGGGGAGGGCGACACAACUCCAAACCCAUUUGCAGCUCUUCUAGGAGACCAGGGGUCUAACCAAGCCAGAGAUCCAACUGGAGAUGCACCAACUACUGCUCCUGCUCCAAAUACCAAUCCACUCCCAAAUCCCUGGGGCGCAAAUGCUGGGGCUGCACAAGGAGCAGCAAGGCCUUCUGCUGCUGCAAGGAGUGCCACAAGCGGUGGCCUAGGAGGGUUGGGUUCUGCAGAUUUGGGAAGUAUGCUGGGUGGUGGCUCUGAUGCUUCCUUAUUGAACCAGGUUAUACAAAACCCUGCCAUGAUGCAAAUGAUGCAAAACAUUAUGUCUAAUCCUCAGACCAUGAAUCAGUUGCUCAACAUGAACCCGAAUGUACGUAACAUGAUGGAAUCAAAUACCCAAAUGAGAGAAAUGUUUCAGAAUCCAGAAUUUCUUCGCCAGUUGACAUCUCCUGAAACAUUGCAGCAAUUAGCUUCAUUCCAGCAGGCAUUGACGUCACAGCUUGGUCAACAAGCUGCUGGCCAGGAGCGGACCCAAGCGGGCACUACUCCAGGCAAUGUUAACCUCAACAGCUUGAUGAGCAUGUUCAGUGGGCUUGGUGCUGGCGGUGGCCUGGGUGGUGUCCCAAAUGUCCCAACUGUGCCACCGGAAGAGCGCUACGCGACGCAGCUAGCUCAGCUCCAAGAAAUGGGUUUCUUUGACCCACAGGAGAACAUCCGGGCGCUGCUGGCUACCAAUGGGAAUGUCCAUGCCGCGGUGGAGCGGCUUCUUGGGAACUUUGGGCAAUAG
rnacentral:rRNA from 1 species